ensembl:snRNA U7 U7 small nuclear RNA
CAGCGUUACUGCUCUUUUUGAAUUUGUCUAGCAGACUUUCUGCAUUUUACAAAAAGAAGAAACCCA